GUUUUACAAGGAGUGUGAGCCAAAAUAUGUGACAUUGAAUGACCUGGAUGGAAAUCAUAAGGGUAUUUCUGAAGAGUAGUGACAAAAAUAGAACUCCAAGUUAUGUCAUAUAAAGUGAGAUCUGUUUGUUGUGAGACCUUGGCCUGAUAAGUGAGUUCCAAGUUAUUAACUGUUAAGCUUAAACUUCCUUGGACAGCCUGUCACAGAGGCAUUUUAAAAUAGAAAAGCAUAUAGAGCCAAAUUAAAUACAGUUGUUUUUUUUAAAAGUGUGGGCUAUCUUCUUCUGCAACGGCUAAAAGACAUUUGGAGAGAGAUCCCCUCUCUGUUUUUCUGACUACCUGUAUCCUGUGCCUGAACUCAAGGAAAGUUCUUUGUCUUCACUUCCAAUGGGAUGAAACUGCUUUUAAGUCUCCUGCAUUAGACACUGGGAUCAAAUCAUCUAGAAGUUCUCAUUCACAUCUUGUAUUGUAAUGAAUGAGAACUAUAAAAGAUAAUAGGACAAAUGGAACUACUGGCUGAGAUAUUAAGCAACUUCUUCAUUACAUGGACUCUUGGGCAACAGGUUCCUAGGGUGAUUGUGCCACUUACUAUUCUUCCAUAGUCUCAUAAAUAGAGAUUAAAGAAUAUAUGGAGUUUCCCAACUUCCUCAUAUCAUUAUUUGGCAUUAAACUGAAACAUGUGCUUGAAUAAAAGGAAUAGAUGUUAACUUUCCAUCUGAGAAGGAUCAGAUUGUGCCCUUUUGCACUC